UAAUAUGUUUCUUUAUUCGAAUCCACAGGAUGUGGCAAAGAUCUAACUGGAGAAAGCGGUCAGUCCUCAUUUGAUCCAUCUUCUUGCGUUUAUUGGAAGUCAAACUACACGUGGACUAUCGGCAAAGGCUUCAAGAACAUCAGUUUCAUUGUCAUCAAAUUCGAGCCGUUUCAUCUAAGAUGCACUAAUCAUUAUGCUGCGGAUUUCGUUGAAGUUUCUGAUGCAAAUUACGAGUUUAAAAUAAGAAAAUGUCGUGGAAUGCGGCCAUUUGAGGUUUUGAUCAAGAAUCGUCCAGCAGUAAUCAGAUACCACUCUGAUAAAGGCAACUGGCACAGGUUUUCUGGAGUUAGUGUCACCUUCUACAUCAUCACUCAGAAAUUGUCAGAUUCAACUGUAAAUAGAUGGGAUCCAGCUAUUAAACAAUCCAAACCUGGUGAAGUUACCAUUGAUUGGGAUCCUUUGACGCUGCCAUCAAAGAACUAUACUGUUGUGCCGUUUUAUAACUAUACAACGAAAGGGGAGCCAUUUCUGUACAUCAUUGAACAUAGAAAGGAAACGUCAAUGAUAACGCAACACCUCGAUCCAGGUUCUUCGUAUUCCUUUAAAGUCA